rnacentral:snRNA from 1 species
GUGUUUGCUUCGACAGCACAUAUACUAAAAUUCGAACGAUACAGAGAAGAUUAGCAUGGCCCUUGCGCAAGGAUGACACACAAAUUCGUGAAGCAUUCCAUAUUAAA